rnacentral:rRNA from 1 species
AAAAGCUUUCUUUAAUUGAAUAAUUGAAUUUAAUUUUUUAGUGCAAAAGCAAAAAUAAAAAUUAGGGACAAGAAGACCCUAUGAAUUUUUUAUUAAAUUUUAUAAAACUUUAUAUAAAAUUUAAUUUAAUUGGGGUGAUGGAAAAAGAAUAAAUAUCUUUUUUUUAAAAAAAAUUGGUUCCGUUUUUAGCGAUUAAAUGAAAAAAAUACUCUAGGGAUAACAGCGUAAUAAUUUUGGAUAGUUCAUAUAGAUAAAAUAGUUUGCGACCUCGAUGUUGGAUUAGGAUUCUUUUUUGGUGAAGAAGUUAAAAAAAGAAGUUUGUUCAACUUAUAAUUUCCUACUUGAUCUGAGUUCAGACCGG